CCCUUAGAUGUCCUGGGCUGCACGCGCGCUACACUGAUGUGUCCAGUAAGCACCUAACCUACUCCGAGAGGAGCGGGUAACCUUAGCAAAGCACAUCGUGAUGGGGAUAGAUUAUUGCAAUUAUUAGUCUUGAACGAGGAAUUCCUAGUAAGCACAAGUCAUCAGCUUGUGUUGAUUACGUCCCUGCCCUUUGUACACACCGCCCGUCGCUCCUACCGAUUGAAUGUUCCGGUGAGCUCUUCGGACUGCGCGGUCUGCAGUUUCUGCGUUCCGUGCGGAAAGUUGUGCAAACCUUAACAUUUAGAGGAAGGAGAAGUCGUAACA
rnacentral:rRNA from 1 species